ensembl:snoRNA
AUCUUUUUUGGUUCAUAGGCGUGAAGAUCAUGCUGUCGUGUGUGUGAGAUGUGCCUCCCACUACACCUUUUUAUGAUGUCAGCACAUUCUCCAUCUGACG